ensembl:processed_transcript
UUGUGUCUUUCAGCCUGUUUCUGCCUAUCACCACUCAGAUUGAUCAUCAAGAUCUCAAUUAUAAGCUUAAGUCUUGAUGACAACUUGAUGAUCUGCAGGAAAAACCACCAUGUAAGGAAGGCCAAGACCACUCUGGAAUCAGUCAAGGCUCAUAGGAACUCCAAUCUUCCCAACUGUGAGGGAGCCUUGCUCCAGUGACUGUCAGUGAAAUGGAGUGAGGCAUACAAGGAUAUGUGUGGUUUUACUCUUGGGAAGGAGGUUGAACAGUGCAAUAUUUCUUCUAUAGGAUUGCAGUGACCAGACAUGCUACUGUAACUCUCAUGGUCAUGUGCUGGAAUUAGCAGAUAUUCAACAAUUUGGCCAUCUCGCUGACCUAUUGAUAUCAGAAGACCGCAACAGCUCUGCAAAGCAAGUUGCAAAACAGAAUCCAUGGAACUGGCAGUGACUGGAAACCAAUUGGAAGACUGUGGUCUGUGAUGUAGAGGAGUGGGCAGACGCAGAAGCAAAGACAACAAAAAACAGAAGUGAUAUGGAUGUCUUCAUCAUAUGGCAUGACUCUGCUGACCCAGCAACAAAGAGGAGGGUGUUCAACAUCAUCCUGCUAGUCAGGAUUCUUCAGGAGAAGCAGUGGAUUCUUGUGGCAGAGAUGGCCAACCACUAUAAAUACCUUUCAACUCAUCCUGGUUUUUUCAAAGAACUUUCCUGCUAGUUUGCUACUGAAAA